rnacentral:lncRNA from 1 species
AAUUUUUCAUUUUAGAAUGAGACAUAUAUAAGUAUAUAAUUCAUGCUACUUGGAUUUCCACCAUCAUUAAUAAUCUCUAAAACAAAAGAUGUCAUGUCCUUACCAACUAUACACCAAAAUUGUUGAUAAAAUAAAGCUAACAUUCCAUCACGACCUGAGGCAGCAUGAGGCUUUAAAUUUUUAGCAGUUAAGAAAACUACAUUUUUGGUGAACUAUGCUUCCUAAUGUUACACAUAGAAUUUGAAAGUCUAUCUUUGACCACUUCCACAACUUCAAAAAUUCUUUCAAGAUGACUAGUAAAGAAAUUAUUGAAAAUCAAGGUUAUGUCUUCCUCAUCAUCAAAUUUUUCUCCACGAUUAUUUCAGAUACAAUCAACCCAAUUUCUAGAUUUUCUCUUAGAAGCUUUUUGAAUAAAAUAUUUCGUAUUUUUAUCUCCAUGUUUUAACCACAAAACAUGAGACAUCUGAGCCCACCAAAUCUCCUCACUCUCCACCAAAUCAUCCAGUAUAGCCUCCAUUCUUCUUAUUUCUGAAAAAUUACUCCCUUUUUGUUGUGAUUGUUAAUUAAGGUCGUUUAAAUUCUUUUGAGAAAUUUUUAUCUAGUUAGAAAUAUCACCGAAGCGCUGACGACCCUAGUUAGAAAGAUCAUUCACACAACGAAUGAUUCUGUCAAACAUAGAAUUUCUUAUCAUCUCCCAAGCACCCAUUACUGCCACUGCCAUUCCACUAUCACAAAAACAACAUUCUUCACAUUGUUGUAUCAAGUGAUCUGAAUCAUGCAUCGGUAAAUGCACCAUUGAAGUCGAAGAAUAAAAUUAUAACCAUCUCGAUGUAGCUACCAUUCUAUCAAGGUGGGCCUUAAUAUUAGAAACUCCAUCCUGAUCAUUAUGCCAAGUAAAUUUUAUCGUCCUGAAAUCCUAAUUCAGAAAGAUUUGAUUUGAAGAGUGUCCUAAAACAUCGAAAUCAGAAUAGAGUUACUGAAAUUCUCACCUUCCUUCUCAUCUUGUCAAAGAAUCAUAUUGAAAUCCCCGAUGAGGAGUCACUUAUCAAUAUUUUACACCAAUACUGAUUGAUCAAUUAAUUCACAUGUUUUAUGUUUCAUUUGAGAGUUCGAAAAACUACACACCUCAAUCAACCUCCAUUUCUCAUCUCCAUCAACCAUAACUAUUAAAACAUUAAUAUGGUUAGGGAAAAAAGAUAAUAUCUCGAAUUUGACGCCUUCCUUCCAAAACAUUGAAAGAUCGCCAACAUGUCUUUUAUCUUCUCUUGCACAACUAACAUGAAUGGCCCUAAUAAACCUUGUCUAUUUUGAAAAUGAUUCAUCUCAAAAUCUUUUUUCUUAGUAUCUAAGAGAAAUACACAAGUGAAAUACUUAUCUCGUAUGAGUUUUUUGAACACUCUAACUGUCUUUGGGUUUCCAAUCCCACGACAAUUCCAAGUUAUGCAACUCAUUAUCUUCGAUAGCUUCAAAAACUCCUUAUUGAAAGGAAAAAAAC